rnacentral:rRNA from 1 species
UACAGAGGGGGCAAGCGUUGUUCGGAAUUACUGGGCGUAAAGGGCGCGUAGGCGGCCUGUUAAGUCGAACGUGAAAUCCCCGGGCUCAACCCGGGAACUGCGUCCGAUACUGGCAGGCUUGAAUCCGGGAGAGGGAUGCGGAAUUCCAGGUGUAGCGGUGAAAUGCGUAGAUAUCUGGAAGAACACCGGUGGCGAAGGCGGCCAUUUGGGCUGUAACUGACGCUGAGGCGCGAGAGCGUGGGUAGCAAACAGG